rnacentral:rRNA from 1 species
CAGUCGCCGCGGGAAUACGUAGGGUGCGAGCGUUAAUCGGAAUUACUGGGCGUAAAGCGUGCGCAGGCGGUUGUGUAAGACAGGUGUGAAAUCCCCGGGCUUAACCUGGGAACUGCGCUUGUGACUGCACAGCUAGAGUAUGGCAGAGGGGGGUGGAACUCCACGUGUAGCAGUGAAAUGCGUAGUGAUGUGGAGGAACACCGAUGGCGAAGGCAGCCCCCUGGGCCAAUACUGACGCUCAUGCACGAAAGCGUGGGGAGCAAACAGGAUUAGAUACCCCCGUAGUCCCUGUCUCUUAUAC